GAGGGUAUAGCUCAAGUGGUAGAGCGUGUGCAUAGCACGCACGGGGUGCUGGGUUCUAAGCCUCAGUACCUCCA
rnacentral:tRNA from 1 species